GAUGAACGCUAGCGGCAGGCUUAACACAUGCAAGUCGAGGGGCAGCAUGAGACGGAGAUUCGUCGAAGUCUUGAUGGCGACCGGCGCAAGGGUGCGUAACGCGUGAGCAACUUGCCCGUUUCUGGGGAAUAACCGGUGGAAACGCCGACUAAUACCCCAUAGCAUAACGAAGAGGCAUCUUUUUGUUAUUAAAGAAUUUCGGAAACGGAUAGGCUCGCGUGACAUUAGCUAGAUGGCGGGGUAACGGCCCACCAUGGCGACGAUGUCUAGGGGUUCUGAGAGGGAAGGUCCCCCACACUGGAACUGAGACACGGUCCAG
rnacentral:rRNA from 1 species